rnacentral:rRNA from 1 species
UACGUAGGGUGCAAGCGUUGUCCGGAAUUAUUGGGCGUAAAGAGCUCGUAGGCGGUCUGUCGCGUCGGCUGUGAAAUCCCGGAGCUCAACUCCGGGUCUGCAGUCGAUACGGGCAAACUGGAGUACUGCAGGGGAGACUGGAAUUCCUGGUGUAGCGGUGAAAUGCGCAGAUAUCAGGAGGAACACCGGUGGCGAAGGCGGGUCUCUGGGCCGAUAUUGACGCUGAGGAGCGAAAGCGUGGGGAGCGAACAGG